rnacentral:rRNA from 1 species
GAUGAACGCUGGCGGCGUGCCUAAUACAUGCAAGUCGAGCGAACAGAUAAGGAGCUUGCUCCUUUGACGUUAGCGGCGGACGGGUGAGUAACACGUGGGUAACCUACCUAUAAGACUGGGAUAACUUCGGGAAACCGGAGCUAAUACCGGAUAAUAUUUCGAACCGCAUGGUUCGAUAGUGAAAGAUGGUUUUGCUAUCACUUAUAGAUGGACCCGCGCCGUAUUAGCUAGUUGGUAAGGUAACGGCUUACCAAGGCGACGAUACGUAGCCGACCUGAGAGGGUGAUCGGCCACACUGGAACUGAGACACGGUCCAGACUCCUCCGGGAGGCGCCAGUAGGGAAUCUGCGGCCAUGGAGGCGCCCCCGGUGGCACACCGCGGGGUGUGUUUGGAAGGUCUUCGAAUCCUAAAACCCUGUGAUAAGGGAGGAUCAAAUGUGUAAGUAACUGUUCUCGUCUUCACGACCCCUAUGAGGAAGUCCCCAGCUAAGUUGCUG